UACGUAGGGCGCAAGCGUUGUCCGGAAUUAUUGGGCGUAAAGAGCUCGUAGGCGGUUUGUCGCGUCUGCUGUGAAAACCUAAGGCUCAACCUUGGGCUUGCAGUGGGUACGGGCAGACUAGAGUGUGGUAGGGGAGACUGGAAUUCCUGGUGUAGCGGUGAAAUGCGCAGAUAUCAGGAGGAACACCGGUGGCGAAGGCGGGUCUCUGGGC
rnacentral:rRNA from 1 species